AUUGAACGCUGGCGGCAGGCCUAACACAUGCAAGUCGAGCGGAUGAAGGGAGCUUGCUCCUGGAUUCAGCGGCGGACGGGUGAGUAAUGCCUAGGAAUCUGCCUGGUAGUGGGGGAUAACGUCCGGAAACGGGCGCUAAUACCGCAUACGUCCUGAGGGAGAAAGUGGGGGAUCUUCGGACCUCACGCUAUCAGAUGAGCCUAGGUCGGAUUAGCUAGUUGGUGGGGUAAAGGCCUACCAAGGCGACGAUCCGUAACUGGUCUGAGAGGAUGAUCAGUCACACUGGAACUGAGACACGGUCCAGACUCCUACGGGCGGCAGUAGUGGGGAAUAUUGGACGAUGGGCGAAAGCCUGAUCCAGCCAUGCCGCGUGUGUGCAGAAGGUCUUCGGAUUGUAAAGCACUUUAAGUUGGGAGGAAGGGCAGUAAGUUAAUACCUUGCUGUUUUGACGUUACCAACAGAAUAAGCACCGGCUAACUUCGUG
rnacentral:rRNA from 1 species